rnacentral:rRNA from 1 species
ACGAACGCUGGCGGCGUGCUUAACCCAUGCAAGUCGAACGGAAAGGCCCUGCUUUUGUGGGGUGCUCGAGUGGCGAACGGGUGAGUAACACGUGAGUAACCUGCCCUUGACUUUGGGAUAACUUCAGGAAGCUGGGGCUAAUACCGGAUAGGAGCUCCUGCUGCAUGGUGGGGGUUGGAAAGUUUCGGCGGUUGGGGAUGGACUCGCGGCUUAUCAGCUUGUUGGUGGGGUAGUGGCUUACCAAGGCUUUGACGGGUAGCCGGCCUGAGAGGGUGACCGGCCACAUUGGGACUGAGAUACGGCCCAGACUCCUACGGGAGGCAGCAGUGGGGAAUAUUGCACAAUGGGCGGAAGCCUGAUGCAGCAACGCCGCGUGCGGGAUGACGGCCUUCGGGUUGUAAACCGCUUUCGCCUGUGACGAAGCGUGAGUGACGGUAAUGGGUAAAGAAGCACCGGCUAACUACGUG